UAUGGUGAAGGUAAACGCCAAUCAUUUAAAUGUAAUAAUAUCUAUUAUGUUUUAUUCAGCUAUUUCAAUUAAAAAGAAUUGCAAAAUUAAUAAGUAUCAGAAUUAUUUUGAGCAUCUACAAUACGACAAAAGCAACUACAAAAAAAAGAAUUGCGUAUUUCUAGUUUAUUAAUAAAUUUGAAAAAGAAAAAUACAAUUUUUGAAUCGAGAGCCCUACGUGAGCAUUCCGAGUUUAAUGGGCAGUUAUAGUAGAAAGGGCGUUAUCAUUGUUUUAUGUAACAAAUUACUGCUUUAUUGGCCAAGUUAGAAGAGCUGGCUGAAGAAUAUAAAUUGCGAAUUUUCACAACUCAAUAUGAUCGUCUGGCGUAAACAAUCAAGCAGGUUCACGUGGCUUCAGUUGGUGAACCGAUUUAUUGCACACCAAAAUACAAUUAACAUCAGAAAACAGUCAACAAGUAGAUACGUUUGUACAAUAGGCGGUCUUAUCGCUAAAAGCGAUCUCUUCCAUACAACCGUUUAAUUACCCGAAAUUCUGGACGAAAUGUGGCGGAGUACUACAACGCAUUAUUUAGGUUAAGGUAGUGUUCAUAUUGAUUUUGAGUUUUUGUUAUUAUUAUUAUUAUCAUUUGAUUUUUUGUGUUUAUUUUUAUUAUUAUUGCUUUUGUUUUAGUCCGAGAUUGUAGUUAUUAUUUUUAUUUAAUUCUAGUAUAAAUGAAAUGUUAAAGCAGUGUAAUGAAGUGUAAUAUGAAUGCAAAAUCUGAAGUAAAUGAAAUAAAAAAAAUAUACAUAUAUACAAUAGAUAGAUAUAUAAACGUUAAACACAAUAUGAAAUCACCAUAUGAUUUAUAUUCCAAUAUACUUACAUACACAUAAUAAAUUAACAGUAUGGAUAAAGGAUAAACAAGCAAA